CAUGUACUCCCCCCUCCGGAAUUACUUGUUGCAGAAAUGAAUGUAUCUGACGUAUUUUAGUGCUAGAUACAUCUAUUUUUAUCCAUUUCUGUGACAAGUAAUUCGAGAUGGAGGGAGUAUGAG
rfam:Triticum aestivum genome assembly, contig: Triticum_aestivum_CS42_TGACv1_scaffold_374799_5AL